rnacentral:rRNA from 1 species
GCAGUCGAGCGAGACCUUCGGGUCUAGCGGCGGACGGGUGAGUAACGCGUGGGAACGUGCCCUUUGCUACGGAAUAGUCCCGGGAAACUGGGUUUAAUACCGUAUGUGCCCUUCGGGGGAAAGAUUUAUCGGCAAAGGAUCGGCCCGCGUUGGAUUAGGUAGUUGGUGGGGUAAUGGCCUACCAAGCCGACGAUCCAUAGCUGGUUUGAGAGGAUGAUCAGCCACACUGGGACUGAGACACGGCCCAGACUCCUACGGGAGGCAGCAGUGGGGAAUCUUAGACAAUGGGGGCAACCCUGAUCUAGCCGUGCCGCGUGAGUGAUGAAGGCCUUAGGGUUGUAAAGCUCUUUCAGCUGGGAAGAUAAUGACGGUACCAGCAGAAGAAGCCCCGGCUAACUCCGUGCCAGCAGCCGCGGUAAUACGGAGGGGGCUAGCGUUGUUCGGAAUUACUGGGCGUAAAGCGCACGUAGGCGGACUGGAAAGUUGGGGGUGAAAUCCCGG